UCACAGGCCUGUGGGUUGAUUAGGGUGGC
rnacentral:piRNA from 1 species